UAGGGAAUCUUCCACAAUGGACGCAAGUCUGAUGGAGCAACGCCGCGUGAGUGAAGAAGGCUUUCGGGUCGUAAAACUCUGUUAUUGAAGAAGAACGUGUGUGACAGUAACUGGUCAUGCAGUGACGGUAUUCAAUCAGAAAGUCACGGCUAACUACGUGCCAGCAGCCGCGGUAAUACGUAGGUGGCAAGCGUUGUCCGGAUUUAUUGGGCGUAAAGCGAGUGCAGGCGGUCUUUUAAGUCUGAUGUGAAAGCCUUCGGCUUAACCGAAGAAGGGCAUCGGAAACUGGGAGACUUGAGUGCAGAAGAGGGAGAGUGGAACUCCAUGUGUGAGCAGGUGA
rnacentral:rRNA from 1 species